rnacentral:rRNA from 1 species
GACGAACGUUGGCGGCGUGCUUAAUACAUGCAAGUCAACUGAAGCAGUGGUAGCAAUAUCGCUGUGGAGGUGGCGCACGGGUGAGUAACACGUAGGUAAUCUGCCUUCAGGUCUGGCAUAACUCCGGGAAACCGGGGCUAAUAGCAGAUGAUGCAGCGGCUCGACAUCGAGACAGUUGUUAAAGCUAUGGCGCCUGAAGAUGAGCCUGCGUCUGGUUAGCUAGUUGGCGGGGUAACGGCCCACCAAGGCAACGAUCAGUAGCUGGUCUGAGAGGAUGAUCAGCCACACUGGAACUGAGACACGGUCCAGACUCCUACGGGAGGCAGCAGUAAGGAAUAUUGCUCAAUGGGAGAAAUCCUGAAGCAGCAACGCCGCGUGAGGGACGAAGGGCUUUUGCUUGCAAACCUCUGUAGUGAGAGAAAAAAAUCCCAAUCUUUGGGACAUGAUGGUAUCUCAAAAGUAAGCCCCGGCUAACUACGUG